GAUCCUGGCUUAGGAUGAACGCUAGCGGCAGGCUUAACACAUGCAAGUCGAGGGGCAACGCGAGUAGCAAUACUUGGCGGCGACCGGCGCAAGGGUGCGUAACGCGUGAGCAACAUGCCCGUAUCAGGGGGAUAAUCCAGGGAAACUUGGUCUAAUACCCCAUAGUAAUUUUUGUAAGGCAUCUUAUAAGAUUUAAAGCUUUGGUGGAUACGGAUUGGCUCGCGUGACAUUAGCUGGAUGGUAAGGUAACGGCUUACCAUGGCUAUGAUGUCUAGGGGUUCUGAGAGGAAGGUCCCCCACACUGGAACUGAGACACGGUCCAGACUCCUACGGGAGGCAGCAGUGAGGAAUAUUGGACAAUGGAUGGAAAUCUGAUCCAGCCAUGCCGCGUGAAAAGGAAGAAGGUCCUAUGGAUUGUAAACUUCUUUUGUAUGGGAGCAAUAAGGCCUACGUGUAGGUUGAUGAGAGUACCAUACGAAUAAGCACCGGCUAACUCCGUGCCAGCCGCCGC
rnacentral:rRNA from 1 species